rnacentral:ncRNA from 1 species
AGUAUGCGAUGAAAAACAGGUACCAGAAAUGGUUUAAAAGGGAAUCCGGUGAGAUACCGGAGCUGUCCCCGCAACUGUAAGUGCAGACGAAUGCCAGGCCACUGUGGAAAACGGGAAGGCGGCAGGAGGAUGACGCACGAGCCAGGAGACCUGCCCGUUUUUCGGAAAGCGG